GCCUCCGUAGCUCAGCUGGAUAGAGCAAAGGACUUCUAAGCCUGAGGUCGUAGGUUCGAAUCCUACCGGAGGCGCCA
rnacentral:tRNA from 1 species